CACCUAUACACACAUUCAUAAAUUUAUUUAUAUCAAAUUCUUUGCAAAGAAUGUUACCCAACAAAUAAAUAUGUGAAGGGGGCGGAGAAUUUCCAAUUUGGGAAUAAAACUGGAUAAUCUUUACUUUCAGAGGCGGACCUUAGAGGACAAAAUUAUAAGAACAAUCAAGUCAAAUAAAUUAAUUCCGAAUUCAAAAAUAUGGUGUCUAUCAAAGCAUUUUGUACUUGAAUGUUGACAAGAGUUCUUAAAACUUAAAUAUUUUGAAAGUGUUUUCUUUUCAAAAAUUGAUCGAAACCACAUGGAUUUAGCUUUGCCAACUGCCAGAGGAGAGGGGCCGAAGGUAGCUAGACGGAAAUGUGGGGUCAUUAUAUACAUAUACAAGUGCUUAAGAAUACACCAACUCACACACACGCACACACAUGCGAAACUCGCAUUUGCUUAGACACUUACCGAUAGAGUUCAUAGCAGAGGCCAUGCUGUGUAAAGAGGCCGGUAUCUGGCCGGAGGUAAGAACUAUCACAAUACGCAAAGGCAUACAACUUGGCAUAUUUCCGGGCAAUCAUCCGACACUG